rnacentral:lncRNA from 1 species
UCUCGUUUAAUACCAUCUUACUGUGGUUACCAAUUUGUCCAUUAAACAUUCAUGUCCAAGGCAUUAUUACUUAUUUACAUUUAAUUCAUAAUCCAUAGGUAUGCAUUCAACUUACCUAAUGUAUCACCAAUCAUGCACAACAAACAAAGCUAACUACCUCGUCACACCAGAAACAUAGAACAUGACAUGAUUAAUUAAGCUUACAAACCAUAGUGAAUAUGGGCCACAUCCCAUGGCCAUAUACGAUAACUCAACGUAGAUCAAUAGGUUAGGCCAAAUCAUAAUAAUAAUACAUGUCAUAAAACUAGCUUCCUAUACAUGCCACUCACUUGAUAUUUCUAAUAUUUGAAUUAAUUCUCCCAAAAAUGAUAGCUUGAUAGUGUGAUUCUGCCUCCGAAGAUCUCCAACCCCGAGCCAACCUGCCAAUACUAAAGAAAUGGCGAGGAGGGGUAAGCUUUACGCUUAGUAAGUCCAUAUGAAAUUAAUAAGCAAUUACAAACAUGCUUGUCAAGAUAAAACACUAUAAUUAUACAAUUACACAUGUUCAGAUUAAGUUGUUUUAUCGAGUUACAGUUACUAAAUCAUUUAUAUCUGGAUAUAAGAAACUCAAAAUUAGGUUCUGUUAAUUUUCCUUGAAAUUAGACUCAUAUACCUUUCUUCCAUAAAAUUUUCAGAAUUUUUGACUUAGCCAAUUAAUACAGUUUAUUCAUUAAAGUUUCCCCUGUUUCAGUGUUCGGCUACUCUGACCUCUGUUCACUACGAAUCAAUUUUAUAUCUGUACAGAAUUCAAAGGGCAAUGCCGUUUAUUUCUCUCAAAAAUAGACUCAAUAAGGAAUUUAUAAAUGUAAAUUAUAACUCCUAAUUAUUUUUUCACAAUUUUUAGUGAAUUUAUAAAAUAGGAACAGAGGAUCUCUAAGUCAUUCAGACUCUAUCUCACAAUAAUUUAAAUAUCUCAUAACAUAAAAUUAAAUUGCGUGUAUCGUUUCCUCUAUGUGAAACUACACUCAUUGAGCUUUAAUCUCAUAUUUUAUUUAUCCCCUAACUCAAUUUACACAAUUUAUGGUGAAUUCCCAAAGUUGCAUCACUGCAGUAACCCAAAACUGCCAAGGCUAAAUUUACUCAAUCACAACUAUUAUUCACUAAAUCUAUACAAUAUCAUUUCAUCCAUCAUGGAAAGAACACAUAAUUAUGCUUCAUAGGCAUAGAUCCAUAAUCUCAAUUUCAUCAAGUAUCAAGACUUAUUCCUCAUCAUGUCAUUUUCAUAGUAUUCACCAAUACUAUAUGCUUCAUAUAUCAAGGCAUCACACGUAAGUUUAGUGUAUAUACCUGUACAACUUGUAAUUUAACUUAAGAACAUACUCACCAAUUGCUUGUCUCAUUGGGACCAUUAUCGAAUACUCCGUCAAAUUACCCGUUGAACACUAGGAAUAUAAUUGAAUAUACGGAAGCCCGUAGCUAGACAAACACAAUAGCCUGCUGUUUAUGUAGCAAAGCUACCAUAAUCUCACCCAUAAUGAACUCGGAAUGCAACUCAACGAGCUCGGGUGUCCGCAUCCAUAAUGAACUCGGAACACAACUCAACGAGCUCAGGUGUUCGCAUCCAUAAUGAACUCGGAACACAACUCAACGAGUUCUGUAACGCCCCAAUUUUCGCGAAUUCUGUGAAUGUUGGCAUAGGUUUAAUUACGUUAGUGGGCCUCUAGAAGGCCCAAGCUUAAGAUAGAACCCGGUAAUUUUAGUUAAUUUUUGUUCCAUAAGAAAAAGGGAGUGAAAUUAUGAAAUAGGACCUAUGUGAAAAUGUUUGAAAAUGCUAUAGGCUAAUUUGUAGUGGCCAAAUAAAUAGUAGUGCAAAAUAGGAGGAUUUGCAUGUCAAAUUCCCCACUUUUAAUGUAGUGGCCGGCCAAGGUGAUGGAUAGUUGAUAAUGUAUGCAUUUUAGCAUUUUAAUAGUUAAUGGAUGGUGGGCAUUAGCAUUUUAAUAGUUAAUGGAUGAUGGGCAUGGUAAGCAUUAUGGGCAUAUUUUUAUUGGAAUUAUGGCAUGAGUAUGGCACAAAUAUUAGUAUAUCAUUUAUGUGUCAUAAAAUGUUGAGUGAUAAGAAUAACAAAAGGAAGUAAAUGAAGGUUUUUGUUCAUUCUUUGUUCUUCAUAGCCGAAUUUGAGAGAGAGCAAAUAGGGGAGGAAACCCUUGAAUAUUCGGUCACUAGGAGGGGGAAAAAUUGAAGGUAAGUUCUUGGUACUUUGCUUCUAUCUUGAUGUUCAUGAGUUCUUCUUGAUUCUAUCCUAACUCAUGAAGCAUAUUUUGGUUUUUGGUUGUUGUUUCAUGUUCUUUUGAUGAAAAAUGGAAGAUAGGUGAAGUUGAGCCAAACAAAUGAGCAUGCAUGUGCCUUAGAUGCUAAGGGGAAAAAUCGGCUAACAUGUUGUGCUUUAAAAUGAUGAAAUGGAGAUUAUACUUAAGUAAAAUCAUAGAUAUGUGAUGAUUGAUUGGUGAUAUACAUGUUUAAAUAACAAGCAUGCAAGUUAGGUGUGAAAGAGUGAUUUGGUAAUAAAUCUGCUUGGGACAGCAGCAGUAACAUGACUUUGGAAAAUCACCAUAAAUUGUGGGAGAUGAAUUAGAAGCUGAAUAAAUUAUGUAAUUAAAGCUUAAUGAGUCUAGUUUCAAAUGAAAUAAACGAGAAUAUAUUUUGAAUUCUGUACAAUGAGAAAUUUGAUUUGUAAUGAAGAGCGGUCAGAUUAGUCAAACAGUGAAACAUGGGAAACUUUAAGAAAAAUCUGGUAUUGAUUGGCAAUACCAAAAAUUCUGAAAAUUUUAUGGAUAAAAGAUAUAUGAGUCUAUUUUCAUGAAAAAUUAACGGCACUUGAUUUGGAGUUUCAUAGCUCCAGUUAUAAAUGAUUUAGUGACUGUUGCUCAGGAAGACAGCUUGCAGUGAAAUUAUGAUUAUGUGGUAAACAUUGACAAAAAUUUGUUAAUGAAUUGCUUAUUGAUUUCUUCUAAGCUUACUAUGAUCUAUAGGUGUGGUUGGCCGAAUAUUGUAAGAGGUUAAUACGUAGUUUGUAUUUGAAUAGUUAGAUUAACGUGUUAGUAAUCCAAUUGUAGGCGGUUCGAGUGUGGAUCUCGUCAGCAUAUCGUCGCAAACAGGUGUGUAACUAACACCCUCUUUCCUAGUCUAGAUCGGCAAAAGUCGAAAAGCUGAAAUGCCGAAAAUCGGUAUUUUGUAGAUUUGCGAGUGUGCGAAUGCUCGUGAGGUAAAUCGAUUAAUGUUUUUGGUAAGCUGUAAUGUUUGGACUGCAAAGUGCAUGAUUUCUGUGCCCUCGAUAUUUUGGGGCUUAAUGGGCCAAAAUUGGAAUGAUGGGCCAACGGGCCCAAUUCGGUAAGAACCCUCGGUAGUGAUUCUGUUAGUACGUGAAAGGUAGGAAUAUGCAUGAAAAACCCUAAAAUAGAUAAAUUACUGAAAUACCUUUAAAAGUGAAAAUUUUACAGUUUUACCCCUAGGAGAUAAAUUACCGAAAUACCCCUAGGGUUAAAUUGACCUAAAUGCAUGUUUGACUGUUGUUAUUUACUUCAUGCCAUGUUGUUAUUAUCUGAUGUAUGGGACUGGGAUAUUGACGGAGGAAGUACUGAAAGUGGCUUGUCCACGUACUGGAGCCUCAAUUUACUGUUAACUGAGCAGCAAGGCUGCAACUGUGGAGUGUUGGGCUAGGUGGGUUGAGCUAUUCCCUACAUGGAGUGUAUGGCUGGUACGGGUGGAGUGUAGUGGUUAGUGGGUUGAGUAGUCUCCCCAAAUGGGCUUGCAUAUGUUUACUGAUGUUGCAUGUAUUUUGAAAUGGGCCUAUGGACCAUACUGUUAUCUGAAUAAGGGGCUAAGGCCCAGUUUAUUGUAAUCUGAAAAGGGUUUUGGCCCAGUACCACUGUUACCUGAAUCGUCUUAGGCCCAAUGGGUUUGAGCUGACUUGGGCUUUGAAUGGGUUUUCCUUACACACUGAGUUUCCCCAAAAUCACCCCUUCUUUAACCUUGCAGGUGAGCCUUGAUAUGGGUGACUUGGAGCCGAAGGGGAUUCAGAGUGGCCAUGGUGAAUACUUUUGGGUUUGAAAAAGAGACUGGUUUUCUUAAGUUAUUUUUAAUUACUAUUUAAUUUUUGGGUUGUAAUAAGGCCAUUUUAAGUUUAUUUUCUUCUUUGAUUUUUCUGGGAUUAUAUUAUUAAAAACAACUUUAAAUUGAUGGAUACUAAUUCAAAUGGGCUAGACUUAGGGCGUGAUUUCAAAAUGAUACUUGUUUUUUUUAAAAUAAUACGACGUCACGAAUAUUCGAUUUACCAAAGAUAAUCACUCAAAGAAAUUUCAACUUGUUAUAAACAAGUGUGGCAAUGGAUGUAGGCAUGUCUAGGAUUGGAUCCAAUCGGAGAGUUUGGUACUUAAGCAGCCUUCAUGGCUCACCUCCUCUAUUAUGGAUACCUACCUGGUGCCCAGCUUCCAUUCACUUGGUUAGUUUGACAAAAGUCGGCUUUUUAAAACACUAAAAAAGGAACACGGGUUUUUGACUUCAAAGUGGCACGUCGGAUUCGGCCUUAACGUCUGGGCCGGGUUUGGGGUGUUACAUUUAGUGGUAUCAGAGCCUAGGUUGCAACAACUCGGCUGUGGAUUGGGUCCAAAAAGGGUUUUCAAAACUUUAUGCCAAAAAAGGGUAUUUUUGGAAAAACUUGACUUUUGAAAAUUUUCUAUUUAAAGGAGAUAAUCUCCGAACUUGUUUUUUUUUAAACACAAAUGUUUAGAAAAUGGAUUUCAAAAAGUCUAAAUCUUUUGGUUUAUCUGAAAACUGAUGAGGUGGCACACUGAAUCCCCGGCACCAAGGUUGUAAGUACUAUUCUGUUUUAUAUACUGAACUGUACUGUAGUUAGUACUAAACCUUAGAGAUAGUACUAUAGAUAAUAUAGCGUAAAGGCUACGAAACUGAGACUGUAGGGUAAACUAAGCCCUAGGAAACUGAGGCAGUAGCUAAACUGUGGUUACGCGAGAACAACUCUGAAACCUUAUCUGUUCAUAAGAUAUUCUGUAAUAAAUAGUGGAAACAGUAAACUAACUACAUAAAAUUCGUAAUCAGAUAAAUCGAUAUAAGUACGAGAGCUACUCGGGAAAGAGGCCGUGGUCGAGGCCGAGGUAGUACUCAAGCUGGAUCUUCGUCUUCUGAACACAUACCCGCUGGAGUAGCAUGACCACUACCGGUGGAUGAGAAUGGGCCGUAUGAUCGGGCCACGGGGGAUGACGCUCUGUCCCAGGCCAUGUUAAGAGUUCUGGAAAGGGUGGCCGGAGCUAAUAUCGGGCCCAUGAAUAGCGGGUCCAUUUCUGAGCGACUCCGGGCCAAUGGAGCGGAAGUUUUUAGGGGUGUAUCUGGAGUAGCCCCAAAUGUGGCUGAGUACUGGUUGGAAGCCACGGAGCGGACUAUGGAUGACUUGGACUACUCAGUAGAGAAAAAGUUAAAAGGAGCAGUAUCCUUACUACGGGACGAGGCGUAUUAGUGGUGGAUCACUGUGAGAGAGGGUACCCCAGCUGAGAGGGUAAAUUGGAAGUUGUUUAAGCAGUCCUUCAAGGCGAAGUAUGUCGGAGCUAGCUAUGUGGAUGCACGAAGGAAGGAAUUCUUGAGCCUGACCUAGGGUGGUAAGACCGUUGCUGAAUAUGAGGCAGAGUUUCUGCGAUUGAGCCUGUAUGCUAAUGGUAUUGUCUCUACCGAAUACGAGCGCAGUGUUCGCUUUGAGGAUGGCCUCAAUGAUGAGCUAAGGGUACUCAUAGCUCCACAAAGAGAGCUCGAUUUUGCUGCACUAGUAGAAAAUGCUAAGAUAGCCGAAGAGGUGAAGCAAGCUGAAUGAAAGAACCGCGACAGGGAUCGAAAUCGGUUCAGGAGAGAUGCUAGACCAACUGGUGCUGCAAACCGAAAUGUUAAGAGAGUUAGGAUGGAGGAACCAAUUCGAGCGAUUCCGGUGAAUAAUGUUAGACCACAAGCUUGUGGAGAUUGUGGUAGAAUGCAUCUGAGGGAAUGUUGGAAACGUUUUGGGGCUUGUCUUCAUUGUGGAUCAAAGGAAUAUAAGAUCAGGGAUUGUCCUAAGAGGCCAGCUCAGGCUCAAGUGGUUGAACAAAGGGCUGUGCAACCCGUGCAAAUAGCGCGAGGUGGACCGUCGCCAUCGAGAGGUCAUGGCCGAGGUCGCGGUGACAAUGGCCAUGGACGUGGGGCACCUGGCAAGGGUACUAUUAACACUGAGGCUCGUCAGCCAGCUUUGGUAUAUGCUGCUCGUCGCCGCGAUGAGGGUGACGCACCUAACGUCAUAACUAGUACAUUUUUUAUUUCUAGCAUGCCGUAUACUGCCUUGGUGGAUGUUGGAUCUACUCAUUCCUAUGUUGCAUGUGCCAUAUCUGGGUCGUUGGGUGUGCACUCUGAGGAGAUUAUGAGUGGGGUAUCUGUACUAAGUCCUUUGAAUCACUCGGUUAGGGUAGACAAACUGUAUAGGGAAGUACCUUUAGAAACUCAAGGUAAGAUUUUCCCUGGAGAUCUGAUAGAGUUACCGUUCGGAGAGUUUGAUCUUAUUUUGGGAAUAGACUGGCUUGUUAAGCAUAAAGCGACUCUGGAUUGUGCUGCUAAACGAAUGGUGUUAAGGACCACAAAGGAUAAGGAGGUUAUGGUGAUAGGUGAGCGAAGGGAUUGUUUGUCCAAUGUGGUAUCGGUAUUAAGAGCCGAAAAGUGGAUUCGGAAAGGUUGUGAGGUCUAUUUGGCAUUUGUAAGUCAGUCAGAAGAGGAGGGACUGACAGUGGAUAAGGUUAGGACCGUAAAGGAGUUCCAAGAUAUUUUUCCGGAGGAGCUUCCAAGAUUGCCUCCGAACCGAGAAGUUGAGUUUGGAAUAAAUUUGUUGCCUGGAACGGCGCCUGUGUCCAUCGCACCGUAUAGGCUGGCACCGAAGGAGUUAGUGGAGUUAAAGGCUCAAAUUCAAGAGUUGCUGGAUAGGGGCUUCAUUAAGCCAAGUGUGUCUCCAUGGGGAGCAUCGGUGCUAUUUGUGAAGAAAAAGGACGGGACAAUGCGCAUGUGCAUCGAUUACCGCCAGUUGAACAAACUGACAAUAAAUAACAAAUACCCUCUGCCAAAGAUUGAUGAUUUAUUUGACCAACUUAGAGGAGCUUCGGUAUUUUCCAAGAUUGACCUUCGAUCUGGAUACCAUCAGUUAAGGGUAAAGGAAGUGGAUAUUCAUAAGACAGCAUUCAGGACUCGAUAUGGUCAUUACGAGUUCCUGGUUAUGCCAUUUGGGUUGACGAACGCACCUGCCGCUUUCAUGGAUCUGAUGAAUCGAGUGUUCCAACCUUACUUGGACCGAUUCGUGGUAGUUUUCAUCGAUGAUAUUCUGGUAUACUCGGAAAUCGAGGAAAAACAUGAGGAGCAUCUACGUAUUGUGCUGCAAGUGCUGAGAGAGAAGGAACUGUAUGCAAAGUUUAGUAAGUGUGAAUUUUGGUUGCGAGAAGUGGCUUUUCUAGGUCAUGUGGUUUCAGCUGAAUGAAUUAAAGUGGAUCCUCGAAAAGUUAAGGCAGUUCUGGGAUGGAAGCCACCAAAAUCAGUAUCGGAAAUUCAGAGUUUUCUGGGUUUGGCAGGCUAUUACCGAAGGUUCGUAGAAGGAUUUUCUCUGAUUGCUGCACCAUUGACGAAACUGUUAAGGAAAGGGGUAGCAUUUGUCUGGACUAAGAGUCAGCAAAAAGCUUUUGACCAUUUAAAAAAGGUAUUGACUGAAGCACCAGUGUUGAUUCAACCGGAGUCUGGGAAGGACUUCACUGUGUACAGCGAUGCGUCACAUGUGGGGUUAGGGUGUGUACUAAUGCAAGAGGGUAAGGUGGUCGCUUAUGCUUCACGGCAGCUUAAGUCUCAUGAAGCGAACUACCCUACGCACGACUUAGAGCUAGCAGCAGUGAUCUUCGCGUUGAAAAUCUGGAGACAUUACUUAUAUGGAGAAAAGUGUAUCAUAUACACGGACCAUAAAAACCUAAAGUAUCUGUUAACUCAGAAGGAGUUAAACCUUAGGCAACGAAGAUGGGUAGAGUUGCUUAAGGAUUACGACUGUUCGAUUGAGUACCACCCAAGUAAGGCUAACGUGGUGGCUGAUGCGUUGAGUCAAAGGGUUGUUUCUGAUUUGAGAGCCUUGUUUGCACGUUUGAGUCUGUUUGAUGAUGGAAGUCUGUUAGCAGAAUUGCAAGUGAGGCCUAUUUGGACUGAGUAGAUUAAAGAAAAACAGUUGAAGGAUAACUCGUUGGUUCUUCGGUUUCAGCAAGUUGAGAAGGAUGAGAAUGAGGAUUUUGGACUGAAUAUUGAAGGAGUUUUAUGCUUCCGAGGAAGAAUUUGUGUUCUAAAGGACUCUCACUUGAGACAGUCAAUAUUGAAGGAAGCUCAUGGGAGACUUUGUGGCAUGCAUCCUGGAGGGAAUAAGUUGUAUCACGACUUGUGAGAACUGUACUGGUGGCCUGGGCUUAAACGAGAAGUAACGGAGUUCGUGGGGAAAUGUCUGACAUGCCAGCAAGUGAAAGCUGAACAUCGAUUUCCUUCUGAAUUACUGCAAGCGGUGAAAAUUCCAUUGUGGAAGUGGGAGAGUCACUAUGGACUUUGUGAGUGGGCUACCUUUGACACCCACCAAGAAAGGUUCUGUGUGGGUAGUGGUGGAUAGGUUAACAAAAUCUGCCCAUUUCAUACCAGUUCGUACUGAUUACUCACUGCAAAAGUUGGCUAGGUUGUAUGUGGCAGAGAUAGUGCGACUAUAUGGAGUGCCAGUGUCGAUUAUUUCCGACCGAGACCCUAUGUUUACAUCUCGGUUCUGGAAGAAGUUGUAGGAGGCGUUGGGUGCACGUUUGGAUUUCAGUACUGGCUUUCACCCACAGACAGAUGGACAGUCGGAGAGGGUUAUUCAGAUUUUGGAGGAUAUGUUAAGGGGUUGUAUCAUCGAUUUUGGUGGGAGUUGGGAGGACUACUUGCCAUUGGCGGAGUUUGCAUACAAUAACAGCUACCAAGCAAGUAUUCAGAUGGCUCCAUAUGAGGCACUUUAUGGGCGGAGAUGUCGUACGCUUACGUGUUGGACAGAGUUAGGUGAACGACAAGUGCUUGGACCGGAGUUGGUGGCAGAUACUGAAAGUAAGGUUAAGUUGAUAAGAGAUCGAUUAAAUGAGGCAUCUGAUAGACAGAAUUCGUAUGCGGAUCAAAAGCGCAAAGAGAUAGAGUUCGCAGUUGGGGAUAUGGUUUUCUUAAAGGUUUCACCUUGGAAGAAGAUCUUGAGAUUCGGCAAGAAAGGCAAAUUGAGUCCGCGGUUUAUAGGGCCUUAUCGAGUUCUUAAGCGGGUAGGGCCAGUAGCGUAUCAGUUAGAAUUACCACCAGAGUUAGACAGAAUCCAUGACGUUUUUCAUGUGUCUAUGUUAAGACGAUAUCGAUCGGAUCCCUCACAUGUUGUGCCAAUGGAGGAGAUUGAAGUAAGGACUGAUUUGACCUUUGAGGAAGAACCCAUACAAAUUUUAGAUCGAGAGGUUAAAGUUCUAAGAAGGAAGUCGGUUCCGUUGGUAAAAGUACUGUAGCGUAAUCAUGGAAGGGAAGAAGCUACUUAGGAAUCAGAAGAGACUAUGUGUCAACAAUACCCUCAACUAUUUGGAUCAGGUAAAUUUCGAGGCCGAAAUUUCUUUAAGGAGGGUAGAGUUGUAACGCCCCAAUUUUCGUGAAUUCUGUGAAUGUUGGCAUAGGUUUAAUUAUGUUAGUGGGCCUCUAGAAGGCCCAAGCUUAAGAUAGAACCCGGUAAUUUUAGUUAAUUUUUGUUCCAUAAGAAAAAGGGAGUGAAAUUAUGAAAUAGGACCAAUGUGAAAAUGUUUGAAAAUGCUAUAGGCUAAUUUGUAGUGGCCAAAUAAAUAGUAGUGCAAAAUAGGAGGAUUUGCAUGUCAAAUUCCCCACUUUUAAUGUAGUGGCCGGCCAAGGUGAUGGAUAGUUGAUAAUGUAUGCAUUUUAGCAUUUUAAUAGUUAAUGGAUGAUGGGCAUUAGCAUUUUAAUAGUUAAUGGAUGAUGGGCAUGGUAAGCAUUAUGGGCAUAUUUUUAUUGGAAUUAUGGCAUGAGUAUGGCACAAAUAUUAGUAUAUCAUUUAUGUGUCAUAAAAUGUUGAGUGAUAAGAAUAACAAAAGGAAGUAAAUGAAGGUUUUUGUUCAUUCUUUGUUGUUCAUAGCCGAAUUUGAGAGAGAGCAAAUAGGGGAGGAAACCCUUGAAUAUUCGGUCACUAGGAGGGGGAAAAAUUGAAGGUAAGUUCUUGGUACUUUGCUUCUAUCUUGAUGUUCAUGAGUUCUUCUUGAUUCUAUCCUAACUCAUAAAGCAUAUUUUGGUUUUUGGUUGUUGUUUCAUGUUCUUUUGAUGAAAAAUGGAAGAUAGGUGAAGUUGAGCCAAACAAAUGAGCAUGCAUGUGCCAUAGAUGCUAAGGGGAAAAAUCGGCUAACAUGUUGUGCUUUAAAAUGAUGAAAUGGAGAUUAUACUUAAGUAAAAUCAUAGAUAUGUGAUGAUUGAUUGGUGAUAUACAUGUUUAAAUAACAAGCAUGCAAGUUAGGUGUGAAAGAGUGAUUUGGUAAUAAAUCUGCUUGGGACAGCAGCAGUAACAUGACUUUGGAAAAUCACCAUAAAUUGUGGGAGAUGAAUUAGAAGCUGAAUAAAUUAUGAAAUUAAAGCUUAAUGAGUAUAGUUUCAAAUGAAAUAAACGAGAAUAUAUUUUGAAUUCUGUACAAUGAGAAAUUUGAUUUGUAAUGAAGAGUGGUCAGACUAGUCAAACAGUGAAACAUGGGAAACUUUAAGAAAAAUCUGGUAUUGAUUGGCCAUACCAAAAAUUCUGAAAAUUUUAUGGAUAGAAGAUAUAUGAGUCUAUUUUCAGGGAAAAUUAACGGCACUUGAUUUGGAGUUUCGUAGCUCUAGUUAUAAAUGAUUUAGUGACUGUUGCUCAGGAAGACAGCUUGCAGUGAAAUUAUGAUUAUGUGGUAAACAUUGACAAAAAUUUGUUAAUGAGUUGCUUAUUGAUUUCUUAUAAGCUUACUAUGAUCUGUAGGUGUGGUUGGCCGAAUAUUGUAAGGGGUUAAUACAUAGUUUGUAUUUGAAUAGUUAGAUUAAUGUGUUAAUAAUCCAAUUGUAGGCGGUUCGUGUGUGGAUCUCGUCAGCAUAUCGUUGCAAACAGGUGUGUAACUAACACCCUCUUUCCUAGUCUAGAUCGGCAAAAGUCGAAAAGCCGAAAUGCCGAAAACUGGUAUUUUGUAGAUUUGCGAGUGUGCGAAUGCUCGUGAGGUAAAUCGAUUAAUGUUUUUGGUAAGCUGUAAUGUUUGGACUGCAAAGUGCAUGAUUUCUGUGCCCUCGAUAUUUUGGGGCUUAAUGGGCCAAAAUUGGAAUGAUGGGCCAACGGGCCCAAUUCGGUAAGAACCCUCGGUAGUGAUUCUGUUAGUACGUGAAAGGUAGGAAUAUGCAUGAAAAACCCUAAAAUAGAUAAAUUACUGAAAUACCUUUAAAAGUAAAAAAUUUACAGUUUUACCCCUAGGAGAUAAAUUACCGAAAUACCCCUAGGGUUAAAUUGACCUAAAUGCAUGUUUGACUGUUGUUAUUUACUUCAUGCCAUGUUGUUAUUAUCUGAUGCAUGGGACUGGGAUAUUGACGGAGGAAGUACUGAAAGUGGCUUGUCCACGUACUGGAGCCUCCAUUUACUGUUAACUGAGCAGCAAGGCUGCAACUGUGGAGUGUUGGGCUGGGUGGGUUGAGCUAUUCCCUACAUGGAGUGUAUGGCUGGUACGGGUGGAGUGUAGUGGUUGGUGGGUUGAGUAGUCUCCCCAAAUGGGCUUGCAUAUGUUUACUGAUGUUGCAUGUAUUUUGAAAUGGGCCUAUGGGCCAUACUGUUAUCUGAAUAAGGGGCUAAGGCCCGGUUUAUUGUAAUCUAAAAAGGGCUCUGGCCCAGUACCACUGUUACCUGAAUGGGCUUAUGCCCAAUGGGCUUGAGCUGACUUGGGCUUUGAAUGGGUUUUCCUUACAUACUGAGUUUCCCCAAACUCACCCCUUCUCUAACCUUGUAGGUGAACCUUAAUAUGGGUGACUUGGAGUCGGAGGGGAUUCAGAGUGGCCAUGGUGAAUACUUUUGGGUUUGGAAAAGAGACUGGUUUUCUUAAGUUAUUUUUAAUUACUAUUUAAUUUUUGGGUUGUAAUAAGGCCAUUUUAACUUUAUUUUUUUCUUUGAUUUUUCUGGGAUUAUAUUAUUAAAAACAACUUUAAAUUGAUGGAUACUAAUUCAAAUGGGCUAGACUUAGGGCGUGAUUUCAAAAUGAUACUUUUUUUUAAAUAACACGACGUCACGAAUAUUCGAUUUACCAAAGAUAAUCACUCAAAGAAAUUUCAACUUGUUAUAACCAAGUGUGGCAAUGGAUGUGGGCAUGUCUAGGAUUGGAUCCAAUCGGAGAGCUUGGUACUUAAGCAGCCUUCAUGGCUCACCUCCUCUGUUAUGGAUACCUACCUGGUGCCCAGCUUCCAUUCACUUAGUUAGUUUGACAAAAGUCGGCUUUUUAAAACACUAAAAAGGGAACACGGGUUUUUGACUUCAAAGUGGCACGUCGGAUUCGGCCUUAACGUCUGGGCCGGGUUUGGGGUGUUACAAGUUCGGAUGCUUGCAUCCAUAGGUGAACUCGGAACGCAACUCAACGAGUUAGGAUGCCUCAUAAUUCUCACGAACUCGGACCACAACUCAACGAGUUCGGAUCUCAAUUUCCUACUGACAUGUCACUUGUAUCCUAACCUAUUCCUAAGGUUCAAACGGGCUCUUUCCUCGAUCAUACGCCUUUGCCAUCUUUCUCGUGAUGUCAAUAUUGAUACUCCGGUGGCAACUCAUAUUUUUCAAGUAUUCCACAUAAUUUGUAUAAUAAUUCAACAAUAAUCAUAGCAUGCAACAAUUCGUAAAUAAUAAUCAUCAUACCAUUAUAAAGACAUCAACAACAUAUAGUAAUGUUACAUUAUUUACAUAAUAUCAAAUUAUUCACAUAUAUGUAUACUUACAAUUCAUAUAAUAUCAUAACAUUAACAUUAAAAUACACAUUGCAUUAUUAAAAUCAUAUGAACUUACCUCGUAUGCGAAAAUGGUCAUUUUUACCAUUUUGUCCACAACUUGGCAUUUUGUCAAUUUUAGCCCGAAUUUCGAUUUUCCUUGCUCUAUCAUUUCAAAUAUAGCCUAAUUAGGACUCAUAUUAUUCAAAUCAACCCAAAAUCAUAUUUUAAAAAAUUACAAUUUUGCCCCUAAACUUUCACAUAUUUACACUUUUGCCCCAAAUCUCGUAAAUUAAACUUCACCCUAUUUUCUUAUGUUUUAUGACAUGAUAAUCAUUUUUCCCUUCUACAGAAACAUCCAAUUCUCACUCUAACAUGUGUUUAUGAACAUUAGGUAUUUUUACCGAUUAUGUCAUUUUACUCGUUUUCACGUAAAAUCGCUUAGCAAAAGUCGUUUAUCUAACACUCAACCUUCAUUUUCUAUCAUUAUACAUCAAAAUACAUGCAUAUUAUUCAUGGGUAAAUUUUUAGACAUGAACCUUAGCUCAAAUUAAUGGUGGAAAUAAGUAGAACAAGUUACCGGGAUUUAAAAAAUGUAAAGAACUUUAAAAAUGGGGAAAAGAUGGACUUACAAUCAAGCUUGGAAGUUUUAAAAACCCUAGCCAUGCCUUCCAUCUCCAUAUACGGUUAUGUCAUGAGAAAAAU